rnacentral:rRNA from 1 species
AGAGCGAACGCUGGCGGCAGGCCUAAUACAUGCAAGUAGAACGCACCUUCGGGUGAGUGGCGGACGGGUGAGUAACACGUGGGAACGUGCCCUUUGGUUCGGAAUAAUCCGGGGAAACCUGGCCUAAUACCGGAUGUGCCCUUCGGGGGAAAGAUUUAUCGCCAUUGGAGCGGCCCGCGUCUGAUUAGCUUGUUGGUGGGGUAAUGGCCCACCAAGGCUACGAUCAGUAGCUGGUCUGAGAGGAUGAUCAGCCACACUGGGACUGAGACACGGCCCAGACUCCUACGGGAGGCAGCAGUAGGGAAUCUUGCGCAAUGGGCGAAAGCCUGACGCAGCCAUGCCGCGUGAAUGAUGAAGGUCUUAGGAUUGUAAAAUUCUUUCAGCGGGGAAGAUAAUGACUGUACCCGCAGAAGAAGCUCCGGCUAACUUCGUGCCAGCAGCCGC